rnacentral:rRNA from 1 species
AGAGCGAACGCUGGCGGCAGGCCUAAUACAUGCAAGUCGAACGGAUCCUUCGGGAUUAGUGGCGGACGGGUGAGUAACACGUGGGAACGUACCCUUCAGUUCGGAACAACCCAGGGAAACUUGGGCUAAUACCGAAUACGUCCGUAAGGAGAAAGAUUUAUCGCUGAAGGAUCGGCCCGCGUCUGAUUAGCUUGUUGGUGAGGUAAUGGCUCACCAAGGCUACGAUCAGUAGCUGGUCUGAGAGGAUGAUCAGCCUCACUGGGACUGAGACACGGCCCAGACUCCUACGGGAGGCAGCAGUGGGGAAUAUUGGACAAUGGGCGCAAGCCUGAUCCAGCCAUGCCGCGUGGGUGAUGAAGGCCCUAGGGUUGUAAAGCCUUUCGGCGGGAAGAUAAUGACGGUACCGCAGAAGAGCCCGGCUAACUCGUGCCAGCAGCCGC